UCAGAUUUAGCAGCUGUGGAAAAAUAUGUUACUGUAUGCAGUAUCCUCUAACAAAUCCUGGUGUGUUCGAUUUUGUUUGUUGUUUUGCUUAAAUGUAUCUCUUAACUAGUAUCUGGUUUGAAUAUGCUGGAUGGGGUCAGCCAUUACCUAGUAGUUUUAGUUUUCACCAAAGUUUGUUGCUAAUGUUCUCAAUGCAUUCAGGAUCAAGACCUAAACUAUCUGAAUUGGAGAUAGAAAAACAUAAGAUGACACUUGUGCUUGAACAAUAUCGGGUGGAAACUAAAGAACCAACAUGUGACGAUUGAGCGGCUUGAGGAGCAAAACUGCCAACUGGAACAAUAGCGCCACCCUACAGCACUCAUUUCAAGAGCAUAGCUGGACAUAUUUAGCUUUUGGCCACUGCUGCAUUAUUCACUUGUGCGUUGAAUAAUGAGGAAAGAGAAUGGAGAGUUGGAGACGAAUGGUGUGGCCAAACAAAAUUUAUAACAAUAGGGCCUUGAGAUAUGUUACGACAAAGCUAAUCCGGUAUUUGCUUUGGUCCCGGAAGAUGUGAGAUUUCAUGAAGAACUAUUUGAGAAGGUGUCUUUGCUACAGCAGCUUGUACGUCCUGAAAACUUGGAUAUAAAACCAGAAUAUCAGAAUGAAGCGUCAUGGUUGCCAGUUGAAAUUGUCACACCCUGAUCACAUGCUAGUUUAAUCAACCGGACCAGCGGAAUAUAACUUUGACAUGGCUCUCCAAACUAAAGGGCACUUAUUGUUAGAUGGUGCAUCUCAUCUAUGCUCUUGCACUUGAUUCACAAUGCUCGGAGAUGAGAUUGGGAAGGGGCGUACGGGCGCGUCUACAAGGGGCUCGACCUGGAGAACGGCGACUUCGUGGCCAUCAAGCAGGUCUCGCUCGAGAACAUCCCGCAGGAGGGUCUCAACAUCAUCAUGGCAUGUUGACGAGGAUGAUCCAGUCCCAAUUGGCUCACCAGGAGAUACACAAUCGGUCGUGGCUUCUGACAUUGAACAGGUAAGCUCAGGGUUCUUUUCCUAAUAUGUUCAUUUCCUAAUACACAAAUAAGUGCAUCAGGAAGUGCACUUGAGAAGAAGUUGAAAGCAGUUGCAUCUACUGCUAAGAAGAGGAAGGGUGGAAGUCAGAA